AGCUUUUUGAAUCCGUGCUGAGAUUUCGUCAGACACCAACCUAUUUGGGCCGAUCACACUUCCAAGAUAAGUGAAGUU
rfam:Schistosoma mansoni, Puerto Rico, WGS project CABG01000000 data, contig: 0037